rnacentral:rRNA from 1 species
UUAAAUUGAAGAGUUUGAUCAUGGCUCAGAUUGAACGCUGGCGGCAGGCCUAACACAUGCAAGUCGAACGGUAACAGAAAGAAGCUUGCUUCUUUGCUGACGAGUGGCGGACGGGUGAGUAAUGUCUGGGAAACUGCCUGAUGGAGGGGGAUAACUACUGGAAACGGUAGCUAAUACCGCAUAACGUCGCAAGACCAAAGAGGGGGACCUUCGGGCCUCUUGCCAUCGGAUGUGCCCAGAUGGGAUUAGCUUGUUGGUGGGGUAACGGCUCACCAAGGCGACGAUCCCUAGCUGGUCUGAGAGGAUGACCAGCCACACUGGAACUGAGACACGGUCCAGACUCCUACGGGAGGCAGCAGUGGGGAAUAUUGCACAAUGGGCGCAAGCCUGAUGCAGCCAUGCCGCGUGUAUGAAGAAGGCCUUCGGGUUGUAAAGUACUUUCAGCGGGGAGGAAGGGAGUAAAGUUAAUACCUUUGCUCAUUGACGUUACCCGCAGAAGAAGCACCGGCUAACUCCGUGCCAGCAGCCGCGGUAAUACGGAGGGUGCAAGCGUUAAUCGGAAUUACUGGGCGUAAAGCGCACGCAGGCGGUUUGUUAAGUCAGAUGUGAAAUCCCCGGGCUCAACCUGGGAACUGCAUCUGAUACUGGCAAGCUUGAGUCUCGUAGAGGGGGGUAGAAUUCCAGGUGUAGCGGUGAAAUGCGUAGAGAUCUGGAGGAAUACCGGUGGCGAAGGCGGCCCCCUGGACGAAGACUGACGCUCAGGUGCGAAAGCGUGGGGAGCAAACAGGAUUAGAUACCCUGGUAGUCCACGCCGUAAACGAUGUCGACUUGGAGGUUGUGCCCUUGAGGCGUGGCUUCCGGAGCUAACGCGUUAAGUCGACCGCCUGGGGAGUACGGCCGCAAGGUUAAAACUCAAAUGAAUUGACGGGGGCCCGCACAAGCGGUGGAGCAUGUGGUUUAAUUCGAUGCAACGCGAAGAACCUUACCUGGUCUUGACAUCCACAGAACUUUCCAGAGAUGGAUUGGUGCCUUCGGGAACUGUGAGACAGGUGCUGCAUGGCUGUCGUCAGCUCGUGUUGUGAAAUGUUGGGUUAAGUCCCGCAACGAGCGCAACCCUUAUCCUUUGUUGCCAGCGGUCCGGCCGGGAACUCAAAGGAGACUGCCAGUGAUAAACUGGAGGAAGGUGGGGAUGACGUCAAGUCAUCAUGGCCCUUACGACCAGGGCUACACACGUGCUACAAUGGCGCAUACAAAGAGAAGCGACCUCGCGAGAGCAAGCGGACCUCAUAAAGUGCGUCGUAGUCCGGAUUGGAGUCUGCAACUCGACUCCAUGAAGUCGGAAUCGCUAGUAAUCGUGGAUCAGAAUGCCACGGUGAAUACGUUCCCGGGCCUUGUACACACCGCCCGUCACACCAUGGGAGUGGGUUGCAAAAGAAGUAGGUAGCUUAACCUUCGGGAGGGCGCUUACCACUUUGUGAUUCAUGACUGGGGUGAAGUCGUAACAAGGUAACCGUAGGGGAACCUGCGGUUGGAUCACCUCCUUACCUUAAAGAAGC